rnacentral:rRNA from 1 species
UUGGCGGACGGGUGAGUAACGCGUGGGUAACCUGCCUUAUACAGGGGGAUAACACUUAGAAAUAGGUGCUAAUACCGCAUAAGCGCACGGGGCUGCAUGGCCCAGUGUGAAAAACUCCGGUGGUAUAAGAUGGACCCGCGUCUGAUUAGCUUGUUGGUGGGGUAAUGGCUCACCAAGGCGACGAUCAGUAGCCGGCCUGAGAGGGUGAACGGCCACAUUGGGACUGAGACACGGCCCAAACUCCUACGGAAGGCAGCAG